rnacentral:rRNA from 1 species
GAUGAACGCUAGCUACAGGCUUAACACAUGCAAGUCGAGGGGAAACGACAUUGAAGCUUGCUUCGAUGGUCGUCAACCGGCGCACGGGUGAGUAACGCGUAUCCAACCUGCCUCUGACCAAGGGAUAACCCGUCGAAAGUCGGCCUAAUACCUUAUGCAGUCGUCGGAAGUCAUCUGAUGACGACGAAAGAUUUCAUCGGUGAGAGAUGGGGAUGCGUCUGAUUAGCUUGUUGGCGGGGUAACGGCCCACCAAGGCAACGAUCAGUAGGGGUUCUGAGAGGAAGGUCCCCCACAUUGGAACUGAGACACGGUCCAAACUCCUACGGGAGGCAGCAGUGAGGAAUAUUGGUCAAUGGGCGAGAGCCUGAACCAGCCAAGUAGCGUGCAGGAUGACGGCCCUAUGGGUUGUAAACUGCUUUUAUGCGGGGAUAAAGUGAGGGACGUGUCCUUCAUUGCAGGUACCGCAUGAAUAAGGACCGGCUAAUUCCGUG